AGUGAACGCUGGCGGUAGGCCUAACACAUGCAAGUCGAACGGCAGCACAGUAAGAGCUUGCUCUUACGGGUGGCGAGUGGCGGACGGGUGAGGAAUGCAUCGGAAUCUACUUUUUCGUGGGGGAUAACGUAGGGAAACUUACGCUAAUACCGCAUACGACCUACGGGUGAAAGCAGGGGAUCUUCGGACCUUGCGCGAUUGAAUGAGCCGAUGUCGGAUUAGCUAGUUGGCGGGGUAAAGGCCCACCAAGGCGACGAUCCGUAGCUGGUCUGAGAGGAUGAUCAGCCACACUGGAACUGAGACACUGUCCAGACUCCUACGGGAGGCAGCAGUGGGGAAUAUUGGACAAUGGGCGCAAGCCUGAUCCAGCCAUACCGCGUGGGUGAAGAAGGCCUUCGGGUUGUAAAGCCCUUUUGUUGGGAAAGAAAAGCAGCAGGUUAAUACCCCGCUGUUCUGACGGUACCCAAAGAAUAAGCACCGGCUAACUUCGUG
rnacentral:rRNA from 1 species